rnacentral:lncRNA from 1 species
GGGGAUGUUAUUUAUUAGACCACCUGAUAAAUCUGAAAAAAGUGAAAAUCACAUCAGGUACUCAAGCCCCUGAGGAAGGUCUUGGGUAGCUAAACUGGGGUUGUGUGUUCCAGCUCUACUAGCUGGGCUCAUAAUAGCCAAGCUCUUUUGCAUAUUCCUUCUGGGUGGCUGAGACAACAGCCCUUGUGUUGCCAGCAGAAGCAUGUGCCAGCUGAUACCCGAGUCUAAGAAACACCAUUUAAGGGCAGUUCUAAGCUUUGAAAUUGCAGCCGCCUUGUCUAAGCUUCCUCCCCGAGGAGAGCUGGGAGAUCUGUUGCAUCUCUGCCCUGCUUCCAACUUGGACAACACCAGCUGCUGCCAAAGGCCAGAAUUGAAGGGUCCUGUGCCACUUAAAGCUGCUCUUGAGAGCUGGCAUUGCUAAUGCAUUUCCACGGCUCCUCCCUGGAUCCUCGGCUGUUCCCCUGGCAGUGAGAAACCCUGAGAAUUAAAUACCGUGAAAAAGCGUUGUUGAAAAUGUUCAAGAGAAACUGCAUUUCAAGAGAAAAUGCAUUUGAAAAUGUCAGCAUACUGUAAAAGAAGAUGAAAAAAAUGGUGCGAAUAUAUGUUGCUUUACUGUCAAAAACUGAGCAGCCCAAACCUGUCCUGAGUUGCC